rnacentral:snRNA from 1 species
GGAUGUGAGGGCUCUGGCUACACCACCUAUCACCCCAUUGAUCUCCAGGGUUGAUUCAACUGAUCUGGCUGGCCAGGCGGGUGCCCCCUUCCUCCCUCACAGCUCCAUGUGCAUCCCUCCUAAAAGUGUGAAGGAGCACCCUUGGUCCAAGAGGACAACCUUCCCCAACAGAGGAGGACUGAUCUUGGUGGAGGGUAUAUGAGUAGUGGAGCUCCCCUGCUAGAACCCCCAAACAAGCUUUCAAGGUCCAUUUGUAGGAGAAUAUAUAGGGUAGUCAAGUUUCCCAGACACAGCCAAAUGAAGUGCUAUAGCAGUCUGCCUUUCUUU